rnacentral:rRNA from 1 species
CCCGCACAAGCGGUGGAGUAUGUGGUUUAAUUCGAUGCAACGCGAAGAACCUUACCUGGCCUGACAUCCCGGGAAUUUCCUGGAAACAGGAGAGUGCUUUCAUUAGAGAGAACCUGGAGACAGGUGCUGCAUGGCUGUCGUCAGCUCGUGUCGUGAGAUGUUGGGUUAAGUCCCGCAACGAGCGCAACCCUUGCCUUUAGUUGCCAGCAGUUCGGCUGGGCACUUUAAAGGGACUGCCGGUGUCAAACCGGAGGAAGGUGGGGAUGACGUCAAGUCCUCAUGGCCUUUAUGGCCAGGGCUACACACGUACUACAAUGGCCGGUACAAAGGGCAGCGACAUUGCGAGAUGGAGCGAAUCCCGAAAAAGCCGGUCUCAGUCCGGAUUGGAGUCUGCAACUCGACUCCAUGAAGUUGGAAUCGCUAGUAAUCGUGGAUCAGCAUGUCGCGGUGAAUACGUUCCCGGGUCUU